UUUGAUUUCUUAAAUAUUCUUUUAACAGUCAACUGUGAUAUGCCUACAAUUCUAUUUACAUGGUAUUGUAGCCUGAAAAAUUGGAAUAAGGAGAUUGUCUUCUAAUGAUUCUUUAUUGCAGAGUAUUUGCACAUUAAGCAACAUUCUUUUGGAAGUUCUACUGAAAGUUUUUUACUGCAUUAUCAUCUGUCAGAACUUGUUGGCAGUACUGGAUCAAUCAUGUAAAUAAAUAUGGAAAAAAUCAAUGCCAAAAAGUAAAAUAGCGCAGUACAGUUUGCCCUCAUAUAGUGUAGGAAAUAUAUCUUGCAGCACAGAUUUGUAUAAUGCCCAUUGCACUAGUUGCAUGGACUAUAUAACAUGGAUAAUGUAUAUAAAGAUAUUGUAUUUUAAAAUGUUUAGUUCUCAACAGUUUUAGCAAAAUUAAAAACUUACAAACGAUUUUCGUCGAUCAGAUAUUUGAUAACUGUUGAUUUGUAAUAAAAAGCAAAUGUUUAUUGCAUUUCCAUGACCAUUUUAAUAACAGUUCUUCCAUCGUUCGUGUUAUACGAAUUCAUGUUAUAUGGGGGUUUAUUUAUUAAUACGUACAAUCGAACGAGAAAGCACACGAUCCUGAAUGUUGCUGAUGAAAUCCUAUAUAUCUUAUUCUUUUAUCCUUUGGCAAUCUGCAUAACAGAUUCCUCAAUGGCUGCAAUAUCUCAGCUUCAUACCAAAUUCCAGGAGAAAUUCAAAGAUUUUUCUGGCUCUUAACUGUGGACAGACAGUAUUAAAUUAAAAUUGUGUAUCAGCAAAACCAUGUUUACAAUGAAGUUAUUUUCAAUUUAAAGGAAAAAUUAACCAUUUUAUAUUUCUUUAUGGAAACUGAUGGAAGGUCCGUUUGUUUUAAGUAAUUUGUCAGAAAAAUUGUAUUCCAUGAGAGCAGAUUCUCAAAGAAUACAAUUUUAACUCUUAAACGUGCCAACAUUCAAAAAACG
rnacentral:lncRNA from 1 species